AAAACAAAUAAUUAAAACUUUCAACAACGGAUCUCUUGGUUCUGGCAUCGAUGAAGAACGCAGCGAAAUGCGAUAAGUAAUGUGAAUUGC
rnacentral:rRNA from 1 species